rnacentral:rRNA from 1 species
AGCAGCCGCGGUAAUUCCAGCUCCAAUAGCGUAUAUUAAAGUUGUUGCAGUUAAAAAGCUCGUAGUUGAAUUUCGGGAUCAUCAGGUUGGUCGUGCCAUUGGUAUGUACUAGCUUUGGUGGUUCCUACCUCUUGAAGAACCGUAAUGUCAUUAACUUGGUGUUGCGGGGAAUCAGGACUGUUACUUUGAAAAAUUAGAGUGUUUAAAGCAGGCAAACGCUUGAAUACAUUAGCAUGGAAUAAUGAAAUAGGACGUUUGAUCUUAUUUUGUUGGUUUCUAGGAUCGACGUAAUGAUUAAUAUGGAUAGUUGGGGGCAUUAGUAUUCAAUUGUCAGAGGUGAAAUUCUUGGAUUUAUUGAAGACUAACUACUGCGAAAGCAUUUGCCAAGGAUGUUUUCAUUAAUCAAGAACGAAAGUUAGGGGAUCGAAGACGAUCAGAUACCGUCGUAGUCUUAACCAUAAACUAUGCCGACUAGGGAUCGGAUGAUGUUAAUUUUUUAAUGACUCAUUCGGCGCCUUAC